GUAGCACUUGUACUGUGAAACUGCGAAUGGCUCAUUAAAUCAGUUAUCGUUUAUUUGAUAGUACCUUACUACAUGGAUACCUGUGGUAAUUCUAGAGCUAAUACAUGCUAAAAACCCCGACUUCAGGAAGGGGUGUAUUUAUUAGAUAAAAAACCAACGCCCUUCGGGGCUCCUUGGUGAAUCAUAAUAACUUAACGAAUCGCAUGGCCUUGCGCCGGCGAUGGUUCAUUCAAAUUUCUGCCCUAUCAACUUUCGAUGGUAGGAUAGUGGCCUACCAUGGUGGCAACGGGUAACGGGGAAUUAGGGUUCGAUUCCGGAGAGGGAGCCUGAGAAACGGCUACCACAUCCAAGGAAGGCAGCAGGCGCGCAAAUUACCCAAUCCCGAUACGGGGAGGUAGUGACAAUAAAUACUGAUACGGGGCUCUUUUGGGUCUCGUAAUUGGAAUGAGAACAAUUUAAAUCCCUUAACGAGGAACAAUUGGAGGGCAAGUCUGGUGCCAGCAGCCGCGGUAAUUCCAGCUCCAAUAGCGUAUAUUAAAGUUGUUGCAGUUAAAAAGCUCGUAGUUGAACCUUGGGUCUGGCUGGCCGGUCCGCCUCACCGCGAGUACUGGUCCGGCUGGACCUUUCCUUCUGGGGAACCUCAUGGCCUUCACUGGCUGUGGGGGGAACCAGGACUUUUACUGUGAAAAAAUUAGAGUGUUCAAAGCAGGCCUUUGCUCGAAUACAUUAGCAUGGAAUAAUAGAAUAGGACGUGUGGUUCUAUUUUGUUGGUUUCUAGGACCGCCGUAAUGAUUAAUAGGGAUAGUCGGGGGCGUCAGUAUUCAGCUGUCAGAGGUGAAAUUCUUGGAUUUGCUGAAGACUAACUACUGCGAAAGCAUUCGCCAAGGAUGUUUUCAUUAAUCAGGGAACGAAAGUUAGGGGAUCGAAGACGAUCAGAUACCGUCGUAGUCUUAACCAUAAACUAUGCCGACUAGGGAU
rnacentral:rRNA from 1 species